GUUUCAGGAAUGCGUGGGUGGUGCAGCAGCGAGCGAGAUAUUCGAAAAGACAAAACACGUCUGAGUUUUAAGCCCCAUCAAGUAUGUGCUUGUGUGUUGCUGGAUAUUUGGUUACACUCGACAUCCGUUUGUUGCGCUUCCAUCCACUGAUGUCUUUGGAAAGAUGGAGGCCACCUGAUGUGGAGUUUUUCAAAUGAUUAACUAUAAACGUUUGGCUCCUACUUACUUACUGUGUCACCUGGUGGUCAUGUGUUUGAAGAAUUUACACGCAUGUUGAACCUGAGAAAAUUAAGAAGGAGGCUUUCUUCUACUUGUGGAGUGGCUGCAGCAUCAGUACGAGGAGCAGAUAUGUGUCGGUGCGGACGCUCUAUUCCUUUGAAAUGAGCCAACAUAAUCCAGGACCACAUCCAAGGACCACAUGGAGGACAACUGGCAUCAUGGACCCCGGCCACCUCCACGGCCAGGACUCCUUCAGCCCGACUGACGGAGAUGAUCAAUGAGCAAAUGAUCCAUUCUCUUUGCAUUGCCACGUAGUUACAGAUGCAUCGUUACCACAGCAACCGAUGCAGAGAGAAACAGGCUGUGCAGCUGCUUGGAGCGCAAUUUCUUCAACCAGAUAACCAGUCCAGGUCCCGAAGGCACCUGAUGGACCCCCCCGCCCUCCCACCCGGCCCCCACAGCGCAUCUCAAUUCGACCGACCCUUCACAGCUCUGCCCGAACCGCCCAUCACCAACUCCAGACAGCGCCUGCUGCGCCGUGACUCAGCUUCCUCCGGC
ensembl:lncRNA